AGAGCAACCCCUCAGCCUCACCUGCGGAGGGCAGGUGCGCGCCCGCUCCGGGAGCGCGGUUGAGCGACGUGGAUCUAUGAGAGCCUGGGACCUCAGGUCCAAGGGCUUCGGCUUCUGUCCCCAGAUGAAGACAGGGUCCUGACAGGCACAUUGCCAACCGGGUGGGCCCGCGAUGCACCGCCUCCUCGCUUCCCAGUGCCAUGGCGGCUUUGUCUUCUUGCUCACGGUGGCGGUCAGCUGUGCGCUGGCCUGGGGCGACCACCCGCUCUCCGCGGACCCGAGAGGAAACCGACCGAGGCAUAAGGAAGCAGGCUCAGAGAGGUGAUGGGGUCACAGGUUCCAGGUACCCGGUGCUGCACUGUGACUUCACCCCAGGUGAGAGGGUGGCUGCGGGUGUGAGUGCUUUUCAGAGUAGAGAUACAUACAGCUCACAUAAAAAGGUAUAUAAUUCCCCCUUCAGUAUAUUCACAUUGUCAUACAGCCAACGUCACUACCUAACUCUAGGACACUUUUAUCACCUCAAGACAAGCCCGUGUACCAUAAGCUCCAGCUCCUGCCAACCAAGAUUUACUGCUCUGCUAUGUUGUGCCAGUAAAAUGGCUUGGGAUCGAACUUGAGACCUUGUGCUUGAGAAGCAGGCGGCAGAACCACUGAGCUAAAUCCCUGGCCCAUCUAGGUUUAACUCUUUCAGAAAACACCAAACUAUUUUCAAAGGCAGUGGGAUCAUUUUAUAUCCCACCAACAAUCUGAGGUCCUCAAUGUCUCCACUUCCUCACGAACCUUUGUUAUUUUCCCUUUAAAAAUAAAAUUGUAGCCU